rnacentral:lncRNA from 1 species
ACCCGCUCGUCCCCUGGGCGGUGGGCAGGGGGCCGGGCAGGGCCUCGUUCCUCGGGCUCGUCCCUCUGAGGAGGGUGGGAGGGGGCCUAGGCUCAGGUCUCCCGCCCCCCGCAGUCCUCGGGCAGCGAGUCACAUGCCAGGACGGGGGCGUCCACUGUCGUCUUCCUCAACCCAGGGGUCGGGAUGCAGUGGCCGGAGCCCAGCGGGGCCUGCCUGGGUGGGAUUUGAACCCGCCGCCUGUAGAGGACGUUCUGAGCCCUGGGGGUGGGGGGGUUUGGGCGUGGGCCAGGACUGGCCCUGCUUGGGAGUUUUCUUCAUUUUAUUAGUGCUUCAGUGACGCUGAAGGUGCGUAAAAGAAAAAUGCCCUUAUCUUAGCAAGACGCAUUUGCAGGAAAUCAUAAGGCAUUUUGGGCGAUGCUAAAAUACUCCAACAACCACGAAAGCGUGUGUGUGUGUGUGUGUGUGUGUGUGUGUGUGCGCGCAAGACAAGAUGGCAAGAUGUGUACAACUGAAACCAGGUAAUGGAGCGUCUCUCCACGACUCCUCUGCUGUUGGGUAAGCCAGAAAUGUCCAUCAUAAAAGUUAAAGUAUAUAAUGCAUGCUACUCUCCCAUCCGAAAAACUCUUUGAAUGUAGGAUAGCUGGGCAGCUUGCUCCAUCCUCCAGGAAUAAGUGGUAAAUCUGGGGCGGCACGCAGGGGAAGGGCCUGGGAGAACCCCGUGCCCCCGACUCACCCGGGGGCCCCAUUUCCUCCCGGCCACGACAACCCCGAGGCUGUACCUGAGCUCAUGUUGAUGGGCGGGAGGUCGGCUCCCUGCCCGCAGUAGAGCAGCAGGACCAGGAGGGUCAGUCCAGUGGUGGCCGCCAUGCCCCCCGAGCAGAAGGAGGACCCUCUCCUGAAGGCCCCUCAGCUUCUCCCGCCUCGGUCUCCAGGACACAGCGGAAUGCCCAGGGUGUGUGACAUCAUGGCAGGAGAGGAGCUGGGUCCUGCCCGUGUGUUGGGGUGCGGAGAGAGUCGUGCUCGGGAUGCCCGGGAGACACAUGUGUGCAGUGAAUUCAGACUACAGGGUAUGGUUUUCAGUGGUGGCUCAGUGGAAAAUAACCUGCCUGCCAGCGGAAGAGAUGCAAGAGACCCAGAUGACAACUGUGGCCCCAAGACAAAGUCCUGCUCUUCGUAA